rnacentral:rRNA from 1 species
CCCUUAGAUUUCCUGGGCCGCACGCGCGUUACACUGAUGCAUUCAACGAGCUUAUAACCUUGGCCGAGAGGCCUGGGCAAUCUUGUUAACGUGCAUCGUGAUAGGGAUAGAUUAUUGAAAUUAUUAAUCUUGAACGAGGAAUUCCUAGUAAACGCAGAUCAUCAAUCUGCAUUGAUUACGUCCCUGCCCUUUGUACACACCGCCCGUCGCACCUACCGAUUGGAUGGUCCGGUGAAGCCUCGGGAUUGUGGUUCUUGCCGCUUUAUUGUGGCGUGACCGCGAGAACUUGUCUAAACCUUAUCAUCUAGAGGAAGGUGAAGUCGUAACA